UCUUCGGAUGGUGGACAGUGGCGCACGGGUGAGUAACACGUGGGGACCUGCCUGAUAGUAAGGAAAAACAGUUGGAAACGACUGCUAAUACCUUAUACGCCCUUCGGGGGAAAGAUUUAUCGCUAUCAGAUGGACCCGCGCUAGAUUAGAUAGUUGGUGAGGUAAUGGCUCACCAAGUCUGCGAUCUAUAGCUGGUUUGAGAAGAUGAUCAGCCACAUUGGGACUGAGACACGGCCCAGACUCCUACGGGAGGCAGCAGUGGGGAAUAUUGUACAAUGGGGGCAACCCUGAUACAGCAAUGCCGCGUGAGUGAAGAAGGCCUUAGGGUUGUAAAACUCUUUCGCUAGGGAAGAUAAUGACGGUACCUAGUAAAGAAGUCCCGGCUAACUCCGUGCCAGCAGCCGCGGUAAUACGGAGGGGACUAGCGUUGUUCGGAAUUACUGGGCGUAAAGAGUUCGUAGGCGGAUAAGCAAGUAAGAGGUGAAAGCCCAGGGCUCAACCCUGGAACUGCCUUUUAAACUGCUUAU
rnacentral:rRNA from 1 species